CUCCCAUCAUGCUCCGCGGCGCAUGUCCAGUGCUGUUCCAGCCGGGACUUCAUCUCCCGUCAUGCCCUGCGCCUCCACUGAGAGCCAUUUCAGCUGCGCCUCAAACUCCCAUGAUGCUCCGCGGCCCCGUUAAACUGCAUUAGACCUGCGCCUACAACUCCCAUCAAUCUCCACGCCGCUGAAAGCCCCAUCAGAGCCCCCCAAGGGCCCGCCCGGACCCCGAAGGGCCCCAAAUUCCCCUCCCUGACCUCCAAGGGUCCUCCUGGACCCCCAAGUGCUGCCCCGGACCCCGAACUAUCCCUCAGAAUCCCUGAGUGCCCCUCCAAGUGCCCACCUGGCUCCCGACACGGUCCAAAGAUCCCUCAUCUGCCUCACGACCACAGUCAAGGAUGGAGAUUGAAGCGCUCCCCAAGGACUGAGACUGAGACCCUUCAAAUUCUAACCCAGGGGUGCUGGCCUGACUGGAGCGGGACGUCUGCCAUGGGAAGCGGGAUGUUUCCCAUAGGAACCAGUCCUGAAACAACGGGCCCCGCUCACUGCUGGCACCGGUUUGUGCUGUUCAGACCUGGACUGUCUGUGCCUGUUCCCAAUGGAUUUAUUCUCCACUGUGCCCUCCAUGUGCCGUCCUGCUCCCUCCUGGUGGUAGAUUAUAAAAGAGCCCUGAGUUAACCAAAGACUUUGAGAUUCUCCCCGAUGUGACCAGAUGGAUCUAUUGGCCAGACCACGAGGAUUUCAUCUCCCUGUUGGUAGCAAUUCCCCCAACCCAACCCUCCUUUCUCUCUCUCUCUCUGUCCUUUAUCGCCUUUCUAAUCCUUCUGUUACAUUUGCUAUGGGCAUGCAAUAAAAGGUGCAUUUGUUUUGAUUGAAA